rnacentral:rRNA from 1 species
UACAGAGGUCUCAAGCGUUGUUCGGAUUCAUUGGGCGUAAAGGGUGCGUAGGCGGCGCGGUAAGUCGGGUGUGAAAUCUCGGAGCUUAACUCCGAAACUGCAUUCGAUACUGCCGUGCUUGAGGACUGGAGAGGAGACUGGAAUUUACGGUGUAGCGGUGAAAUGCGUAGAUAUCGUAAGGAAGACCAGUGGCGAAGGCGGGUCUCUGGACAGUUCCUGACGCUGAGGCGCGAAGACUAGGGUAGCAAACGGG